GUGUCAGCAGCCGCGGUAAUACAGAGGGGGCAAGCGUUAUUCGGAAUUAUUGGGCGUAAAGGGCGCGUAGGCGGCCUGGCAAGUGACGGGUGAAAUCCCUCGGCUUAACCGAGGAACUGCCUGUCAGACUGCUGGGCUUGAGACCGGGAGAGGUGAGUGGAAUUCCCAGUGUAGCGGUGAAAUGCGUAGAUAUUGGGAGGAACACCAGUGGCGAAGGCGGCUCACUGGACCGGAACUGACGCUGAGGCGCGAAAGCGUGGGGAGCAAACAGGAUUAGAAACCCUUGUAGUCC
rnacentral:rRNA from 1 species